rnacentral:rRNA from 1 species
AGUGAACGCUGGCGGCAGGCCUAACACAUGCAAGUCGAACGGCAGCACAGUAAGAGUUUGCUCUUACGGGUGGCGAGUGGCGGACGGGUGAGGAAUACAUCGGAAUCUACUUUUUCGUGGGGGAUAACGUAGGGAAACUUACGCUAAUACCUCAUACGACCUACGGGUGAAAUCAGCGGAUCUUCGGACCUUGCGCGAUUGAAUGAGCCGAUGUCGGAUUAGCUAGUUGGCGGGGUAAAGGCCUACCAAGGCGACGAUCCGUAGCUGGUCUGAGAGGAUGAUCAGCCACACUGGAACUGAGACACGGUCCAGACUCCUACGGGAGGCAGCAGUGGGGAAUAUUGGACAAUGGGCGCAAGCCUGAUCCAGCCAUACCGCGUGGGUGAAGAAGGCCUUCGGGUUGUAAAGCCCUUUUGUUGGGAAAGAAAAGCAGCAGGUUAAUACCCCGCUGUUCUGACGGUACCCAAAGAAUAAGCACCGGCUAACUUCGUG